CCCAAAACUGGGUGCCUAGGACAGGACUUGGUCUAGCUUCAACCCAAGAGGAAUCAGAAGAUCAAAAGCAGUUUGGGAAGGCCAGAACAGACCGGA
rnacentral:sRNA from 1 species